CGGGGCUGUGGGUCCUCGGCGCCCAGGGCUCCUGCGGCGGCGGCACCGGAGGUGUCCCGUGGUCCCAGGGCCCCGCCCGGGAGACGCCCUCGCCCGAAGCCGCGAGGCCGGGCUGCGGCCACUCCCUCCCCUCCUGGAGAGUGGCUGGCUUUGCGCGGGGAGCCGGAGUCCAGCUGCCGAGAAAGCCCCGGGGGACUUUGCUCAGCGGGACCCUGGAACUCUUCUGCUAGAGUAACCGAGAGCUACGGGCUGCGGGGCUGGAGGAGCUGAGCUGACGAUCCGCACGUUGGCGGUGACCGGGUGUCCGCACACAAAGGCCACUCCACCUGGGUGACCACCACCGCGUCUUUAGUCCCGAAGUGGCGGCGAGGCGCGAUCGGAGAGGUAUUUGCUGAGCACCUGGUAUGUUCAGGAUACCGAUAAAGAAGUGUGUGUGAGAUGGUGUAGAAAGUCAUGAACCUUUAUACGAGACUGUAGAAGAAGCAGGUCAUCUGAUGGCAGGACUGCUAGGGAAGUAAAGUAUGAAGAAUGCACGUGUGUCUCCAAAGGCAAACUGGCCACAUGUCAUCCCUGCGAUGGCCGGAGGUGAUGGCCUGGAAGAGCUGUGGCCAGUGAGGAGGGACCAGACUCCUUGGAAGAUGAUGGCCACUGCAGAGUGCACACUCCACUCAGAUCAGCGACACCAACAUACCAUCUCCAGCUUGCUCUCCAGGAAGAAUGAAUACGUGGAAGAUGGCGUUUGAUUCUUCCUGCUGGCUGCUGACCCUAGAGAGACAUCAUGGACAACAUGGACACUCACUUCAACAUGAGGCUACUGAGACAUGUCAUCAGGUAAUUGGCCAGUCAUGCUGUGCCCAAUAGCUGAAGGCUUCCCAAUAGCUGAAGGCUUGAUGGUUCUAGGCAUCUUCCCUAAUUAGGAUGAGAGAGGACACGGGAACCCAAACUCAUGGGUCAUCUGACCCAGGGCUUGCCUGUUUGAAAGGUCAAAGGUCUUCUGUUUAACUCUUCACUUGCCACACUCUCUAGAUUAGAAUCAAGGCACUUUUGUCACUCUGGUUUGGAAAUGCUGCUCUACUCGGUACUCGUCCUGCCCUUCAUGUUGCUGGGUAGGUGGAGGGAUAUUGAACUGGGCAGCCUUGGGUUCUCCAACUGGCAACCAAAACUACAUUCAGGGAUGGUCCUCAGGCCCCACAUUUAAAUAAUCUGUGGUAUUUUAAGUAAAUUUUGCCUGUAGAAUUAGUGUUCAUUCUGUUGAUGGGUGUAGGGGAGUGAGCAAGGAUAUUUAUGUUUUAAUAACCUCCAAAUGAUUCUUAUUAACACUAAAGUUUGAAAAACAUUUCCCUAGAGGAUUCUUCUGUAGGCUUCCAUGAACUUUCUGAGCUUGCCUACACAUUGUGUGUACUUUUUUUUUUUUCUGGAAAGAAUUGAGGUCCACAGCUUUCAAUAACUUCUCAAAGGAAUCUGAAUACAGUGGGGUAAGACCCUCUGAAACAGGCUGGUGGACAGAUGAUAAUGUACACAUAAGGUGUCAGAAAGAGGAAAGACAAUAUUUUUCCCUGGGAAGCAGUUUUUCUACUGUUGAAACAAAUACUUCAUUUUGUAGUUUGGUAAUUUUGUAGUUAACAUUCCCAUUUUGUAGUGGGACCAUCUUGGUACCAUCUUUCUUGGUUAUCCACAUAAACAAGAUUUGUGUUCUAAGGAUAAAAUACGGUGUACUCUUUUCACUAUAACAUAUUGAUCAGUAGCAAAGACUUUGGAAAAGGCUUCUUGGGUUUGAAAUACCGCUUUAUCAUUUAUUAGCUCUGUGACUUCAUGAAAAUAACUUACUCUAUGCCUCUAUUUCCUCAUAUGUAAAAAUAUUCUUCUUAACCCCUCUUAAAGGGUUGUUACAGUUGUAAAUGGGUUGGUGAACAUAUAGCCCUUAACACAGUACCUGGCACAUAGUAAUAAACAUUAGAUCUAUUAUUAUUAUUAUUUAUUGUUGUUACUGUCAUUCAGUUAAUAACACUCAUCAUAGUAUAUCUAAUGUCCACAAUGUCCACUUAGCAGAUAUGUAAUAUAUAUUAUCUCUCAUCUGUAAUUAUGCUGUCUCCUUUGUCCAUUUUCACGUCUUAGAGCACUGAGGUCAUCUCUCUCUCUCUCUU